rnacentral:rRNA from 1 species
GACUCUGAAUAACUUUUAGCUGAUCGCAUGGCCUUGAGCCGGCGACGUAUCUUUCAAGUGUCUGCCUUAUCAACUUUCGACGGUAGGUUACAAGCCUACCGUGGUUAUAACAGGUGACGGGGAAUCAGGGUUCGAUUCCGGAGAGGGAGCCUGAGAAACGGCUGCCACAUCUAAGGAAGGCAGCAGGCGCGCAAAUUACCCACUCCCGGCACGGGGAGGUAGUGACGAAAAAUAACAAUACGGGACUCUACCGAGGCCUCGUAAUUGGAAUGAGUACAAUUUAAAAUCCUUAACGAGGAUCUAUUGGAGGGCAAGUCUGGUGCCAGCAGCCGCGGUAAUUCCAGCUCCAAUAGCGUAUAUUAAAGUUGUUGCGGUUAAAAAGCUCGUAGUUGGAUCUCAGUUCUGGGUGAGCACGGGUCCGCCAUAACAUUGGUGGACUGCUGACUUGCCCGGUGCAAAACCGCCCGGCUUCCCCCACGGUGCUCUUCACCGAGUGUCGUGGGUGGCCGACACGUUUACUUUGAGAAAACCAGAGUGCUUAAAGCAGGCGCAAGACGCCCGAAUGACUGUGCAUGGAAUAAUGGAAGAGGAUCUCGCUUCUGUCUUUGUUGGUUCCUCGGAAGGCGAGAUAAUGAUUAAUAGAAGCAGUCGGGGGCAUUCGUAUUGCGACGUUAGAGGUGAAAUUCUUGGAUCGUCGCACGACGAACUACUGCGAAAGCAUUUGCCAAGAAUGUUUUCGUUAAUCAAGAACGAAAGUUAGAGGUUCGAAGGCGAUCAGAUACCGCCCUAGUUCUGACCAUAAACGAUGCCAACUGGCGAUCUGUCCUAGUUACUCGCACGACUGGACAGGCAGCCUCCGAGAAAUCAAAGUCUUUGGGUUCCGGGGGAAGUAUGGUUGCAAAGCUGAAACUUAAAGGAAUUGACGGAAGGGCACCACCAGGAGUGGAGCCUGCGGCUUAAUUUGACUCAACACGGGAAACCUCACCAGGCCCGGACACCAAAAGGAUUGACAGAUUGAGAGCUCUUUCUUGAUUUGGUGGGUGGUGGUGCAUGGCCGUUCUUAGUUGGUGGAGCGAUUUGUCUGGUUAAUUCCGAUAACGAACGAGACUCUAGCCUGUUAACUAGCCGGUGGAUCAGAAAAUUGAUAUGCGGCGAAGUGGUGUUGCUAUCCUCCGGGGUGCAUCCUGCAUAGUCGCGUCCACCGAGUCUUCUUAGAGGGACAGGCGGCGUUUAGCCGCACGAGACGGAGCAAUAACAGGUCUGUGAUGCCCUCAGAUGU